rnacentral:tRNA from 1 species
AGGCCUGUAGCUCAGGUGGUUAGAGCGCACCUGAUAAGGGUGAGGUCGGUGGUUCAAGUCCACUCAGGCCUACCA